UACGUAGGGUGCGAGCGUUGUCCGGAAUUAUUGGGCGUAAAGAGCUCGUAGGCGGCCUGUCGCGUCGGAUGUGAAAGCCCGGGGCUUAACCCCGGGUCUGCAUUCGAUACGGGCAGGCUAGAGUUCGGUAGGGGAGAUCGGAAUUCCUGGUGUAGCGGUGAAAUGCGCAGAUAUCGGGAGGAACACCGGUGGCGAAGGCGGUUCUCUGGGCCUUACCUGACGCUGAGGAGCGAAAGCGUGGGGAGCGAACAGG
rnacentral:rRNA from 1 species